GUGGGGAAUAUUGGACAAUGGGCGCAAGCCUGAUCCAACCAUGCCGCGUGUGUGAAGAAGGCCUUUUGGUUGUAAAGCACUUUAAGCGAGGAGGAGGCUCCUUUAGUUAAUACCUAAAGAGAGUGGACGUUACUCGCAGAAUAAGCACCGGCUAACUCUGUGUCAGCAGCCGCGGUAAUACAGAGGGUGCGAGCGUUAAUCGGAUUUACUGGGCGUAAAGCGUGCGUAGGCGGCUUUUUAAGUCGGAUGUGAAAUCCCUGAGCUUAACUUAGGAAUUGCAUUCGAUACUGGAAAGCUAGAGUAUGGGAGAGGAUGGUAGAAUUCCAGGUGUAGCGGUGAAAUGCGUAGAGAUCUGGAGGAAUACCGAUGGCGAAGGCAGCCAUCUGGCCUAAUACUGACGCUGAGGUACGAAAGCAUGGGGAGCAAACAGGAUUAGAUACCCUGGUAGUCC
rnacentral:rRNA from 1 species